ACCUACCUGACAGCUGACACCUCACACCUGUUUCUCACCUGCAGGUCAGACAGGAGGAGACACAGAGGAUGGAUCUGUUGGACUGAUUGUUGGUCUGUCAGUUCUUGCUGUUCUUGUAGUUGCUGCUGGAUUUUUGAUCUACAGAAAACAUAAACAACAGCAGAGUCAGGAUUCAUAACAGCCUCCUGUUGAACUGUAGCUUGUUUCAAAUUAGUUUUUUUUCCUCAUGAACUCUGAGUCUCCUGCUGCUGUUCAGACUCUCAGUGUUGUCAGUGAACAUUCAGGUACAGACAGAUGAUCUGAUCAUCCAGCAGACAGACAUCAAACACGUCCAGAAUUUCUCUGUCACGGCAUCAUCACUGCUUUCUCCACUUCAGCCUGUGAAGUAAGGAAGGAUGUGAAGCUGCAAUUUCAAGAUUCUUUAUUCGGCAGAUGCUUAGUUGUACAAGUAUAACACACAGUGAAAUGUAACCUGACACACUCCUAUACUUGUGCAAAGGGGGUGAGAGAGGAAGAACAUUAUAUAUUAUAUACAUUAGGUGAUUGUUCAGUUUUAGUAUGUUAUGUGUCAAAUGUGUUUGUUCUUUGCUAAUAAAGUUUUACAAACAUUGUCA